AACGAACGCUGGCGGCAUGCCUAACACAUGCAAGUCGAACGAAGGCUUCGGCCUUAGUGGCGCACGGGUGCGUAACGCGUGGGAAUCUGCCCUUGGGUUCGGAAUAACUCAGAGAAAUUUGAGCUAAUACCGGAUGAUGUCGCAAGACCAAAGAUUUAUCGCCCAAGGAUGAGCCCGCGUAGGAUUAGCUUGUUGGUGAGGUAAAAGCUCACCAAGGCGACGAUCCUUAGCUGGUCUGAGAGGAUGAUCAGCCACACUGGGACUGGGACACGGCCCGAACGCCUACGGGAGGAAGCAGUGGGGAAUAUUGGACAAUGGGCGAAAGCCUGAGCCAGCAAUGCCGCGUGAGUAAUGAAGGCCUUAGGGUUGUAAAGCUCUUUUACCCGGGAUGAUAAUGACAGUACCGGGAGAAUAAGCUCCGGCUAACUCCGUGCCAGCCGCCGCCGUAAAAC
rnacentral:rRNA from 1 species